AAUAAAGCUUAAUAGUUAGCCACUCCACUUCCACUGGAGAGACUUCUGUGCGAUUCAGAUUAUUUUGAAGG
rnacentral:tRNA from 1 species